CAAUACCUGUAUGUAUGGAUCAUAUCAAAAUAUUUGUCAAAACUCAGGUGGGCAGUUCCUGGUGGAUAAUUGGUAACUAGGCAACCGUUAAACUAGCUUGUUAAUGUAGCUAUAAAUAUGAAGACUGGUGAUAUAAUGGUGGAAUCAUAGUGUGUUUUAGAAAUCCCAAACAGCUCUCUCCUCUCAUGCAGGUGAAUAUAAUAGGCUUUCUCUGAGAUACAUGAAGCCAAAACAUCAUUACAAACUCUUGGUCGUGCUACAUGACAAGAUGGAUGGUUCUGCCUCCAUUUGGAUUCCCAGGAAAUCCAUAUAGUCUCACCACUCCCGCGGGGCAGCGCGACUCCGGACAGCGCCUCCAGCACCGAGCUCUUCCCCGAGCUCUGGUCUCCGAUUACGGCGAUGGCGGGCAGCGCGAGGUCCUUCUCCACACCGAGCGCGCGCAGAGAGUCGAUCAGGUCGAUGCACGGACGCACCUUCUCCUCAUACUGUUCACUUAGACUCGCGCUCAUCUCUCACAGCUAAUACACUCGGAAAAUAGACAAAUAGUUAUUAGCAAAUAAUCUUACUUUGUUUACACUGUAAACAGCUCUACUAUUUCCACUAUUUCCUGUAAAA